rnacentral:rRNA from 1 species
GAUGAACGCUGGCGGCGUGCCUAAUACAUGCAAGUCGAGCGAACAGACGAGGAGCUUGCUCCUCUGACGUUAGCGGCGGACGGGUGAGUAACACGUGGAUAACCUACCUAUAAGACUGGGAUAACUUCGGGAAACCGGAGCUAAUACCGGAUAAUAUAUUGAACCGCAUGGUUCAAUAGUGAAAGACGGUUUUGCUGUCACUUAUAGAUGGAUCCGCGCCGCAUUAGCUAGUUGGUAAGGUAACGGCUUACCAAGGCAACGAUGCGUAGCCGACCUGAGAGGGUGAUCGGCCACACGGGAGCUGAGACGCGGUCCAGACUCCUACGGGAGGCAGCAGUAGGGAAUCUUCCGCAAUGGGCGGAAGCCUGACGGAGCAACGGGGCGUGAGUGAUGAAGGUCUUCGGAUCGUAAAACUCUGUUAUUAGGGAAGAACAAAUGUGUAAGUAACUAUGCGCGUCUUGACGGUACCUAAUCAGAAAGCCACGGCUAACUACGU